GGCGGAGUCAUUUUCGGACACGAGAUAGAAACCCUUAAAUUUCAAUUCUAAAUUAGAACACAAAUUAUUCGUAAAUUUUAUUUGGUGUGGAAAUAUUAUUGGAGAUUAGGAACUAAUUAAUUAUGAUUAAAAUUAUUAAGUAGGGAUUAAGGAUUAAUUAAUUAAUUUAAUUUCUAAAUUGUGGGCCCCACCCGUUUAAAAAAAAAAAAAAACAAAUCAGCAAAUUGAUAUUAAUGAGUCAUAAAAGGUGGGAAACGUGUCCAAUAUAUGGACACCAUAUACGUAUAUGUGUUGAACGACCAAACCAAACAAUUCACUUUCAUUUUGCAAAAUCCAACUUGAGGGAAAAAGAAAUAAAAUCAUAACCAUGGAUGCCAUGCUCUCGGCCAGCCAUGGUUGUGGAAAAAAAAUAUAUGUUUUGUUGCCUAGAUUAAUUCCAAGGUGAAUUAAAAAUCCAAGAAGAUGAUAGCAACAUUGGAUAUUGAAUCGGGGAAGAAGAAAUUGCGAAAUUUGAGCAAUUAAGAGUAGAAAUUCCUCCGAGAAAAAAAUUGGUUAAAAGAGCGACGAGACGAACGAAUUACGAAUAGCCGCUAACAGGUACAGAUAGUCGGUUGGGUGACCCUUCAGCAUAGGACUUCUACUUAGCUAUCUUGGAGAGCUCCGUUGUUCCGGGGUUUAAGCUUUUAGUACAGAUCUGAUGAUAUAUAUAUGUAUAUGUUAUCCAAGGGUACGGCGGGGCCUUGUCCCGUCAUAUUUCGCUAUUCGUACUCUUAGAGGUCUGUAGACAUAUGUGUGGGUUGUGUAUGGGUUCUGUUCAGCUGUGUCUAUACGAGGUGCUGUGGUAUAAUGUUCGUCUAUAGUGGCAGCCUUGUCGGCUUGCAUAUGAUAUUGAUAUGUGAUGGCAGCCUUGUCGGCUUGCGUAUUAUUUCAUGAUAUGAUCAGUUGUGACUCCUCAGGAGACAGUGUAUCUGAAUAUACAUAUAUGU